AUUUUUUCCUUACCACCAACAAGCCAAUCCAUUCUAUUCACAAUAGGAUAUUUUCCAGGCCCAGAAUAGAUGAGCCACACGAAGCCCCAUCCUUAAGCCAAAUUGCAUCCAUUUUUUGACUCUGACUUAAAUGGUCUAGUCGAAAAAUUCGCUCCAACUUGGGUUAAACUAUUUCUAUAAAUAGCAGAAUUUCACAGUUGUACUUCAAAAAUUCAGAUCAAGAUUGUACAAUUGUGGAAAAAUGGAGAAGAAGAUGCUGAUAAUAGUUUUAGCGACACUUCUGGUCAUAUUUUCAGUAAACAUGGAGGGCGUUGAAUCCCAAGGCGUCAGCUGCUACGAUUCCUGUUCAACGGGCUGCGUUAAUCCUGACUGUAAGCUCUUUUUUUUUUUUUUUUUGGGUGGGGGUAGGGGGUGGUUGUAGAAAGUGUUUUUCGUUUGUUAAAGAUUUUUUAACGGGAAAUUGAAGUAAUUUUUAUUUUUUUUGGCUGCUGUUUACUGUAUAAUUUAGUCAGGCUAAUGAAGCGAUGCGACCGCAAGUGCCAGAUAUGGUGCAGUCCAGGUAUUUUCCCAGAUUAAGUCGAGUUUUCUUUUUCUGCUUUAGAAUCAUUAUGUGCUGUGCUUUCUGCUAAUAUUGGUACUCUUUAAUAUCAGUAUAUUUGGUUGGGGGAUGACUGGGGAUUUUUCAUAAAAUAGUCACCAUUGAAUGCGCAGUUGCACGUUAUUAUGAAAAACUUUAUAAAUGCUCUAAAAUUAAUAUUUGAAUAUGCAUAAAUGUUAAUUUAUUUAAAAUUAAUAAGAGGGAAUAUAUAUGUGACAAUGAAUGUUAAAAGUAAAACAAUUGUUUAUACUAGAAUUAAGAUCUGUUUUCCAAGCAUCGGGCUUAAUCCGUAUAAUGUUAAAUUGGAUUUUAAUUAGCAUAGAUGGACGUGAAUAAUGAAAUAUAUUCUUGAAUGUAAAAUUCUAAUUAACUUAUAAUUAGAAUCAAUAACACUGAAAUGUAUAAACGAAAAUGAAUAUUAAUUAAAUAAAUGUGAAUGUUAAUUAAUUGAGAAUUAAUAAUAAAGAAUUCAUAUAUUAAUGAAAGCACACAGAUGAAAUGAAUAUGUCGAAUAACUUAUUUAAAUGGUUAAAUAAGUUAAAUACAUAUUGAAAAACGAAAAGUAAUUUAUUAUUGUAAUGUUGAAUUAUAGUGGGGCUAAAAUCAUUCAAAAAUGAUUCUUACUUGAUAUGAUAUUUAAUUCUAAUUAAGUAAUACUGGAUGUUAAUUAGUAUACAUGGACGUGAAUAAUGAAAUGCAUUUUUGAAUGUGAGAUUCUAAUUAACUUAUCAUUAUAAUUAAUAACACUAAAAUGCAUAAAUGAAGAUGAAUAUUAAUUAAAUGAAUGUAAACAUUAGUUAAUUGAAAAUAAUUGAAAGGAUGAUGUUAUACGUACAUCAAAGUAUCCAUAAUGAUGUUCACCCCCUCAUAUGGAGUGCCCCCCAUGUUUAUAGACAACGUAUUAUGUACAAGUAGCAUAUUUCAUAAUUGAAUUAUCGUAAGACUAGAAUCGUCCAAAAAUGAUUUUCACUUGAUGUGAUAUUUAGUGCUUGUUCGACAACCAUUAAUUUAUUUUAUGGUUUGUUAUUAGAUUAUUUUCAACCACACAUUCACAUAAUAAAAUAUUAUAUACGUACACCCAAAAAUUUUUCCUACCUUUUAACCACACAUUUUCUUAAACUAUUCAGAACUCAUUUUUUUUCAACACCAAUUGUUCUCAAACAGGCUCUUAAUAUAUUAUAAAUAAGCACUGGGUAUCUCUGUUAUACUCGGGUGCAAUUUGUUGGAGUUUUGCAUAAGAAGAAACAAAGCAAGUUUUAAGAAUUUCUGCUUGUCAAUUUGUGGAGUCUGCUUGAAUUCAGCUUGUCUAUAUGAAGUUAGCAUAUUAAAAUGAACCAUGAACUGUAGUGUUUGAGACUUAGAAACCCAAAGGUGUGCAAAAAUAAAUAAAGAUACACAAGAUUUAUAGACCUCACAAAUAUGAGAUUACAUCAUCUUUCGCCAUUGGAGUAACACUAAGAUGAAAAGAAGUUUACAAUAGAAAAUCACACACACUAUCUUAUCUAAUCUCUCUGUCCCUUUUUUAUAGUAAUACAAAAGUGUUGUGACGACUCCCUAUUUAUGAGACAAAUUAUGGAAAAAUCAAAAUUUACAAGGACACAAAAUCAAUCCUCAUGCUGGCUUGCACAGCGGCAAUAAUUAGGUUCCACUACUUAACACUUAACUCUUUUUCAGAAUUAUUGAUCUGAAUAAUACAUGAAGCUGAGUUUUUCGUUGCAUAUUUUACUUUCCCAAGUAUGUCUGCAAGAAGAAAAACAAGGUUCAUUUGAAACCAGUACAUUCAUUGUGUACUAAUAUAUAAAUAAAGAACUGGGCUCCGCUUGGAAAAUAGGCUUUAUUCAUCAAAUUAUAUAGCAUUAUUUUUCUAUAUCUACCUGUUCACUCUUUGAUAUCAAUGAUAUAGCACAUGGUGUAACUAUUUAGAUUACAAUGACUGUAUGUUCUGCACUCUGGUCACCUCGAAGCCUAAGAAACGGUUCAGUUAUACAUAAGCAUACAUGUUUGUUGACACAUAAAAAUUCAGCCCAAAUCGAACAGCCCAAGGAGUAAAGCCCAAUUGGAGGAUCCCCAAAUCAGAUAGCCCAAAGAACGAAGUCCAAUCGAACGAAUCAAGGUGAAGGCCCAAAUAAGGGGGCCCAAGAGUGCGGUAACGCCAUCGCUCAAGUUUGCAAGUCGCCCAGAAUCUGAA
rnacentral:lncRNA from 1 species